CAGCUCCUGUAUUCGUGCCCACAAGGGCCUCAUCUAGGUGAAGGCUCCACCUGCCCCACCCUGCCAUGGCCACCACGCUCCUCUGCUGUGUGGUUCUUUGUCUCCUGGGAGAAGAGCUUAUAGAUGCUGGAGUCACCCAGACACCAAGGCACAAGGUGACAGAGAUGGGACAAGAAGUAACUAUGAGAUGUCAGCCAAUUUUAGGUCACAAUACUGUUUUCUGGUACAGACAGACCAUGAUGCAAGGACUGGAGUUGCUGGCUUACUUCCGCAACCAGGCUCCUCUAGAUGAUUCAGGGAUGCCCAAGGAUCGAUUCUCAGCGGAGAUGCCUGAUGCAACUUUAGCCACUCUGAAGAUCCAGCCCUCAGAACCCAGGGACUCAGCUGUGUAUCUUUGUGCUAGUGGACAAGGGUGCCUGAGUCCAAGUUUGAGGGUGAGUGUCACAGAUUGGAGCUUUCAAGUGAUUGAGUGA